CGUGUAGGCGGUUUCAUAAGUCAGAUGUAAAAGCGUGGGGCUCAACCCCAUAAAGCAUUUGAAACUGUGGAACUUGAGUAGUGGAGAGGAAAGUGGAAUUCCUAGUGUAGCGGUGAAAUGCGUAGAUAUUAGGAGGAAUACCAGUGGCGAAGGCGACUUUCUGGACACAAACUGACGCUGAGGUACGAAAGCAUGGGGAGCAAACA
rnacentral:rRNA from 1 species